UACGUAGGGCGCAAGCGUUGUCCGGAAUUACUGGGCGUAAAGGGCGCGUAGGCGGCCCGCUAAGUCGAACGUGAAAUCCCCGAGCUCAACUCGGGAACUGCGUCCGAUACUGGCGGGCUUGAAUCCGGGAGAGGGAUGCGGAAUUCCAGGUGUAGCGGUGAAAUGCGUAGAUAUCUGGAGGAACACCGGUGGCGAAGGCGGCAUCCUGGACCGGCAUUGACGCUGAGGCGCGAAAGCUAGGGGAGCAAACGGG
rnacentral:rRNA from 1 species